GGAGAGGUGGCAGAGCGGUCGAAUGCGUCAGUCUUGAAAACUGAAGUCCCUUCACGGGGACCGUGAGUUCGAAUCUCACCCUCUCCG
rfam:Candidatus Buchananbacteria bacterium RIFCSPLOWO2_01_FTLL_39_33 rifcsplowo2_01_scaffold_15722, whole genome shotgun sequence.